rnacentral:lncRNA from 1 species
AUGAAUGAAUGUGGAGGGCGGAGCCUGGGAAAACCCCUCUGCAACGCUGCGCUGAACAAAGCGCUUCGCCUGCCAGGAGGAGGGGGGGAAUGGAAGUGCCAGCGCAGGAAGGAGCCGCGAGUGGAUGCGGGGAGCCGGCGGGAGGAGGACGGCGGCGGGAGGCGGCGAAAGCCCGAGACGCCUGGGGGCCGCCGGCUCCCCGCCACCCCGCAAGUCCCGCCCGGACCCACCGCCCCCUCGCCAGCUGCCGCGGGCGCUCGCUCCCCACCCGGACGGAAACGACCCAGGUGGCCGGGGGGCAGCAAGGCGCUGGGGACAGAGAGCGAAAGGGAAAGAGAGCGACGAUGCCCGAGUAAUUCUCUGGAGACUGGGGAGACAUGACAACUAAAUGCAGUGAGGCACCCUGGAUUGAAUCCUGGAACAGGAAGAGAGGACGUGGACGGAAAAAGUGGUGCAAUCCCCAAAAGCCUGGAGGUUAGUUCUUACUACGUACCCCUGUCAAUUUCUUAUUUUUGACCAAUGGACCAUGGUAACUUCAGAUGCUAACAAGGCAGUAAACUGGAUGAGGGAUCUAUGGGGGCUCUCUGUAAUACUUUUGCAAAUUUUCCGUAAAUCUAAAAUUAUUUGGAAACAAAAAUUCAUCUUAAAAAAAUGGAAACCUUCAGCUACAGGGCCUAUUAUUACCCAUCUUUUAAAGAUAAAGUUGCUCAGGCCUAGAGAGGGGAAAUAAUAUGUCCAAGGUACCUCCAGACACAGUCUGGCCUGGACAAUUACUGUUGGCCCAUCCUGCCACCCGGGCAGUCUGCACUUCCCUUUAUAUUCUAUCUGCAGCCUGCUAGCACCGAGGCAUGCAGGUGGGACCUACAAACCCAGUUAUGAAGUAGGUAGUGUUUUUCCUCAAAUUCCCUUUGUUCUCUUUGAGAUUUAAUUCCCACCGUGAUGGCCUCUCUAGUAGGACCUGGCUUCAGGUGAAAAAAAGAUGUGGUAUGAGCAGUUGGAUGUUUGCCUACCUCAUGGGAGGUCCCGGGUUGUUUCCUGGUGCCUCCUAAAGAAGAAGAGCAAGACAGCAAGUUGACAUGAUAGCCUGGUGCAGCCAGCCCACGCAACAAGAUGAUGCAGUGAGGAGACGCAACGAGGAAACACAAUGAGAGACCCAAUAAGUGAGGAGCAUAUGUGGCUCAAGUGGUUUGUCAUCUCCUACAUGGAAAAUCUCGGGUUCGGUUCCCAGUUCCUCCUAAAAAGAAGACGAGCA